AGAGUUUGAUCAUGGCUCAGAUUGAACGCUGGCGGCAGGCCUAACACAUGCAAGUCGAGCGGUAGAGAGAAGCUUGCUUCUCUUGAGAGCGGCGGACGGGUGAGUAAUGCCUAGGAAUCUGCCUGGUAGUGGGGGAUAACGUUCGGAAACGGACGCUAAUACCGCAUACGUCCUACGGGAGAAAGCAGGGGACCUUCGGGCCUUGCGCUAUCAGAUGAGCCUAGGUCGGAUUAGCUAGUUGGUGGGGUAAUGGCUCACCAAGGCGACGAUCCGUAACUGGUCUGAGAGGAUGAUCAGUCACACUGGAACUGAGACACGGUCCAGACUCCUACGGGAGGCAGCAGUGGGGAAUAUUGGACAAUGGGCGAAAGCCUGAUCCAGCCAUGCCGCGUGUGUGAAGAAGGUCUUCGGAUUGUAAAGCACUUUAAGUUGGGAGGAAGGGCAGUAAAUUAAUACUUUGCUGUUUUGACGUUACCGACAGAAUAAGCACCGGCUAACUCUGUGCCAGCAGCCGCGGUAAUACAGAGGGUGCAAGCGUUAAUCGGAAUUACUGGGCGUAAAGCGCGCGUAGGUGGUUAGUUAAGUUGGAUGUGAAAUCCCCGGGCUCAACCUGGGAACUGCAUUCAAAACUGACUGACUAGAGUAUGGUAGAGGGUGGUGGAAUUUCCUGUGUAGCGGUGAAAUGCGUAGAUAUAGGAAGGAACACCAGUGGCGAAGGCGACCACCUGGACUGAUACUGACACUGAGGUGCGAAAGCGUGGGGAGCAACAGGAUUAGAUACCCUGGUAGUCCACGCCGUAAACGAUGUCAACUAGCCGUUGGGAGCCUUGAGCUCUUAGUGGCGCAGCUAACGCAUUAAGGUUGACCGCCUGGGGAGUACGGGCGCAAGGUUAAAACUCAAAUGAAUUGACGGGGGCCCGCACAAGCGGUGAGCAUGUGAUUUAAUUCGAAGCACGCCGAGACCUUAACCAGGCCUGACAUCAUGACUUUCUAGAGAAUAGAUGGUGCGUCGGGACAUUGAAACAGGUGCUGCAUGGCUGUCGUCAGCUCGGUCCUGAAUGGUGUUAAGUUCGUACGAGCGCCAACUGGGUCCUUAAAGUUACCCAUGAGCACGU
rnacentral:rRNA from 1 species